rnacentral:rRNA from 1 species
GAUGAACGCUGGCGGCGUGCCUAAUACAUGCAAGUCGAGCGAACAGACGAGGAGCUUGCUCCUCUGACGUUAGCGGCGGACGGGUGAGUAACACGUGGAUAACCUACCUAUAAGACUGGGAUAACUUCGGGAAACCGGAGCUAAUACCGGAUAAUAUAUUGAACCGCAUGGUUCAAUAGUGAAAGACGGUUUUGCUGUCACUUAUAGAUGGAUCCGCGCCGCAUUAGCUAGUUGGUAAGGUAACGGCUUACCAAGGCAACGAUGCGUAGCCGACCUGAGAGGGUGAUCGGCCACACGGGAACUGAGACACGGUCCAGACUCCUACGGGAGGCAGCAGUAGGGAAUCUUCCGCAAUGGGCGAAAGCCUGACGGAGCAACGCCGCGUGAGUGAUGAAGGUCUUCGGAUCGUAAAACUCUGUUAUUAGGGAAGAACAAAUGUGUAAGUAACGAUGCACGUCUUGACGGUACCUAAUCAGAAAGCCACGGCUAACUACGU